rnacentral:rRNA from 1 species
CUCAGGGCGAACGCUGGCGGCGUGCCUAAUACAUGCAAGUAGAACGCUGAAGAGAGGAGCUUGCUCUUCUUGGAUGAGUUGCGAACGGGUGAGUAACGCGUAGGUAACCUGCCUUGUAGCGGGGGAUAACUAUUGGAAACGAUAGCUAAUACCGCAUAACAAUGGAUGACACAUGUCAUUUAUUUGAAAGGGGCAAUUGCUCCACUACAAGAUGGACCUGCGUUGUAUUAGCUAGUAGGUGAGGUAACGGCUCACCUAGGCGACGAUACAUAGCCGACCUGAGAGGGUGAUCGGCCACACUGGGACUGAGACACGGCCCAGACUCCUACGGGAGGCAGCAGUAGGGAAUCUUCGGCAAUGGGGGCAACCCUGACCGAGCAACGCCGCGUGAGUGAAGAAGGUUUUCGGAUCGUAAAGCUCUGUUGUAAGUCAAGAACGAGUGUGAGAGUGGAAAGUUCACACUGUGACGGUAGCUUACCAGAAAGGGACGGCUAACUACGUGCCAGCAGCCGCGGUAAUACGUAGGUCCCGAGCGUUGUCCGGAUUUAUUGGGCGUAAAGCGAGCGCAGGCGGUUUGAUAAGUCUGAAGUUAAAGGCUGUGGCUCAACCAUAGUUCGCUUUGGAAACUGUCAAACUUGAGUGCAGAAGGGGAGAGUGGAAUUUCAUGUGUAGCGGUGAAAUGCGUAGAUAUAUGGAGGAACACCGGUGGCGAAAGCGGCUCUCUGGUCUGUAACUGACGCUGAGGCUCGAAAGCGUGGGGAGCGAACAGGAUUAGAUACCCUGGUAGUCCACGCCGUAAACGAUGAGUGCUAGGUGUUGGAUCCUUUCCGGGAUUCAGUGCCGCAGCUAACGCAUUAAGCACUCCGCCUGGGGAGUACGACCGCAAGGUUGAAACUCAAAGGAAUUGACGGGGGCCCGCACAAGCGGUGGAGCAUGUGGUUUAAUUCGAAGCAACGCGAAGAACCUUACCAGGUCUUGACAUCCCGAUGCUAUUUCUAGAGAUAGAAAGUUACUUCGGUACAUCGGUGACAGGUGGUGCAUGGUUGUCGUCAGCUCGUGUCGUGAGAUGUUGGGUUAAGUCCCGCAACGAGCGCAACCCCUAUUGUUAGUUGCCAUCAUUCAGUUGGGCACUCUAGCGAGACUGCCGGUAAUAAACUGGAGGAAGGUGGGGAUGACGUCAAAUCAUCAUGCCCCUUAUGACCUGGGCUACACACGUGCUACAAUGGUUGGUACAACGAGUUGCGAGUCGGUGACGGCAAGCUAAUCUCUUAAAGCCAAUCUCAGUUCGGAUUGUAGGCUGCAACUCGCCUACAUGAAGUCGGAAUCGCUAGUAAUCGCGGAUCAGCACGCCGCGGUGAAUACGUUCCCGGGCCUUGUACACACCGCCCGUCACACCACGAGAGUUUGUAACACCCGAAGUCGGUGAGGUAACCUUUUGGAGCCAGCCGCCUAAGGUGG